rnacentral:rRNA from 1 species
GACGGAGGAUGCAAGUGUUAUCCGGAAUCACUGGGCGUAAAGCGUCUGUAGGUGGUUUAAAAAGUCUAUUGUUAAAAAUUGAAGCUUAACUUCAAAGAUGCAAUGGAAACUUUUAAACUUGAGUAUGGUAGGGGUAGAGGGAAUUUCCAGUGGAGCGGUGAAAUGCGUAGAUAUUGGAAAGACCACCAAUGGCGAAGGCACUCUACUGGGCCAUUACUGACACUGAGAGACGAAAGCUAGGGGAACAAAUGGG